AUACGGGGGGAGCAAGCGUUAUCCGGAAUCACUGGGCGUAAAGGGCGCGCAGGCGGAUGGUUAAGUCAAAUCUGAAAGUUAACAGCUUAACUGUUAAAGUGGGUUUGAUACUGGUUAUCUUGAGUGCGAGAGAGGAAAGCGGAAUUCCUGGUGUAGCGGUGAAAUGCGUAGAUAUCAGGAGGAACACCGGUGGCGAAGGCGGCUUUCUGGCUCGUAACUGACGCUGAGGCGCGAAAGCGUGGGUAGCAAACAGGAUUAGAUACCCUGGUAGUCCACGCCCUAAACGUUGUAUACUUGUUGUCGGGAGAUCUAACCCUCUCGGUGACGGAGCUAACGCGUUAAGUAUACCGCCUGGGGACUACGGUCGCAAGGCUGAA
rnacentral:rRNA from 1 species